UAAUAUAACAGCGACAACAACAUUAACGGGGAAGAGAUUGGGAAGAGAAAUUUGUUACUACCACAGAAUAAACUUACCAACUUAAAAACUACAAAUAUAUUUGAAAAUGGCUCUUGAAGGCAUCGAUUUUAGAGUUGAUGCUGUUCUUCCUGCUGGUGGAAUCGGGCAAAGAAUGGGCUUAGAGACACCUAAACAGUUUGUAAAAGUUUGUGGGAGAUCACUGAUAUGCUAUGCACUGGAUACAUUUGAAAGUGUUCCGUGGAUUAAAAAGAUUGCUGUUCCUGUCUCUAAAGAGUGGACAUCACACAUGGAACAGAUAAUCAAAGAAGAGGGAUAUUCAAAAAUUGUGUUAUGUGAAGGAAAGCAUACAAGACAUAGAAGUAUUUAUGAAGGGGUAAAAUCGCUAGAAGCGGAAGAUGGCAGUCCUCAUGUGGUAAUUAUCCAUGAUGCCGUGCGACCUUUGAUUGACGAGGAUAUACUUGUCGCAGUCGCAAAAGCAGCCAAUGAACAUGGCGCAAGUGGUGCUGUUCGCAAACUUGUUUCAACCAUUUUAGUUACCGACAAAAACGAAAUGCUGGACCACUCCCUUGUUCGAUCAAAAUGUAGAGCGAGUGAGAUGCCACAAGCCUUCCAAUAUAAUGUGAUAAGUGAGGCCUACUUAAAGAGCUCUGAAGAUGACUUUGAUAAUGGUACCGAAUGUUUGCACCUUGCUCUUGAAUACACAUGGGCAAAACCAAAAUUGGUUGAAGGAACAACAGAUUUAUGGAAGGUCACAUACCAGAACGACUUGGAAACUUUUGAGAAAACGAUAAAGGAAAGAACAAGGAAGAAUAUUUCAUUUUGGAAUAUUGAAAAUGAAGCCCCGCCUUUUUGGAACCAAAUUAUAGAAUUUUUUCAUCAUAAAGGAUAUAAAACAUCAAAAAUAUUGAAAACAGAUUGCGAAAUCAUUCCUUCAAGUGAAGAGUCUUCAUCAAACUGUACUUCAAAAUUUGGAAGUCAUCAAAAACCGUCGUUGGUAUGCUUUGCGGACUAUUUUUACCGUUGCGGCAAAGAAAUAGAGCAUCUCCAGCAUAAUUACUUCAAAGUGUUUAUAUUGUACCACUGCGAGUCGCUGGCUGAAAUUUAUGCAGGGAUCAAAAUGUAGAGCGAGUGAGAUGCCACAAGCCUUCCAAUAUAAUGUGAUAAGUGAGGCCUACUUAAAGAGCUCUGAAGAUGACUUUGAUAAUGGUACCGAAUGUUUGCACCUUGCUCUUGAAUACACAUGGGCAAAACCAAAAUUGGUUGAAGGAACAACAGAUUUAUGGAAGGUUUGUCUUCCUUUCAAAUGCAUUCUAUCAUACGACUUUAUCAACACUACACAGUCAACAUUACCACCAUUAUCCACGGAGUGAAUCGACGUCUUUAGAAAGUGUGAAUCGAUGUCUUUAGGAAGUAUAUCCCUUUGCUCAUUGCCUACGUUUUUAAGGAUGCUUUGUUUAGCGGCAUGAGACAGUUUUUCCAGCAACAUUGUCUCACAACAUAAUAGACUUGGAGCUGAAAAGAAUCGAGGAUGCCAAAUUUCCUUUUUCCUGCUUGAUUAUUGGUAAUUCGCCUCUCUUUUUUACAUACUAAUAUUAGCAUCAUUUCCCUUGAAUUGAAAUUAGCAGCAUGAAUCAAUACCUCUUGAUACCUCUUAGUGCUCCAAUCAAACAAUUCUUAGAAAUGUAUUGCAAUUUUUAAAUGUGAUGUAGGUAGAAUUCGUUAUACGUGCUACGAAACUUCACGAUUAACUCAAAAUGGAGAUGCUGGUUUAUAUCUUAAAGCCCUUUCCCCUUUCCUAUAGCAAUUUAAAUCUGAAAUACGUUAGAUCAAGAAUCUGAAAUAGGUAUAACUACGAUUUUUUUUUCUUUAGUGUUUUUAAUGUUAGUUUGUAUUCUAUUACACACCCUCACCAAUGAUUUUUAAAAGUUCAAUCAAAUUAAAGCAAAUUAAAACAAAGAUUAAAUCAAAGCCAUGAAUUAAUAAAGAUUCCAACAUUGAUAAGACUUUGUGAUCAACAACUAUUUAGGAAAAUGAACAAAAAAAUUCAGAAAGCGACAUCAAGUAUUAUAAGAAUUUCAGAAUCCGAUUAGCUCAUGAAUGGAAGGAAGUAGAACAAACUACUUUCAAAACUAUUUUCGUAUGAAAUUAUUAAUUUCAAAAAGCAGUAGAAUGAAACUAAAUCGAUGUUCUGACUUAAAAGCUAUGAUUCGUCAAAUAUAAAUAGCAUUGGAAGUAAGUAUGCGAAUACAGUCCCAAAUGACAAAUAUAGUCAAUUAAUGCCAAGACAACCAACAUCUCUACUCACUUACCUCACUACUCACUUCUUUUCUCUCUGUCAUUUCUAUAAAAGUUGAAAACCUAAGAUAAAUUUUAACAUCUCUGAAUUUGUAGGGCCUGAGCAAAUUAAUAAAAAGUCCUUAAACAUCACAUUUCUUCUCCUCCAGCUAAACUGGUCAACUAAUCAUUUUUUUGAAGGAUUAUUCCCAGAUAAUUUUCCGAUUUGCGAUCAUUGAUUUAGUAAAUGUUACCGAUUUUCAGUAGACAUUAAUUUAACUUUCAGGAAAUCCAAUUGAUCGUGCAUCGAUUAGUAUGCCUGAGGCUAUUAGAAGCACCCUUGACAAUAAAAAAUCUGGGUUGCGUAUUUAUUCGCUUACAAAAAGCAUUCGAUACUGUCAUAUUCAUGAUCCUACGAGUCAUGUAUUCUACUGUUAAAACUUGGGUAUCAUUGGGUAAGAGCUACUACAAUCUAUUGGUUUCAGGCUUACGUAGCAGGUAGAAAUUAGUAUGUUUCGAUAAAUCUUUUGACUACACUAAACCCACACUUAAAUCUCUACCACUAUUAUAAUCACUGCGUAGAAUAAUCUUUUGUCAAUUAAUCUACGCUUUUUUCUGUUCGAAAUCAACUGUGGCGUGUUUUAGGGAUCUGUCCCCAGACACAUCCCUUUAUUUGAUCCAUAAAUGACUUACCUAGUGUUUCGAUGAAGCCAAAAUUCUAUCUUUUUGCUUGUGACACAAAUAUUUACGAAUCUUAAGAAAUUUGAAGAGCUUAAAGAGCUCAAAGUUUGAUAAAGCAUUGAAAUGUGUAAUAAGAUUGCAUGAGGCGAAUUGACUCUCGCGUGAUUAACUAUUCUCCUCAAGCGUGGUCCUCAAAACGUCUUUAAUUUAUAUAUUAAUGAUUUAUUUCUAAUGGUAACUGAUACUGCAGUAUGUAACUUUGCUGAUGAUACUACGAUUUUUGCAGCUGACUGUCAAUUAGAUAAAGUUUUAGAACGGCUAGAAACUGAUGCUCUUAUUUUAUCAAAAUGGUUUCCAGAAAACUUUAUGAAAUUGAAUGCAGGGAAAUGUCAUCUUCUUACUUUUGGAACAAAUCAAGAUGACUUUAAGAUCAAAAUCGGUGAGGCCAUUGUUGAAGAAAGCUCUGAAGAAAAACUGCUAGGGGUGAUAAUAGAUAAAAAUCUUAAUUUCAAAAGUCACGUCUCAAAUUUAUGCAAAAGAGCCAGCCAAAAACUGCAUGCUCUUGCUAGAUUUACGCCAUUUAUGGGUUCUGAUAAACUGCGUCUCCUAAUGAACAGCUUCAUAAAAGCUCAGUUUAGUUACUGCCCCCUAAUUUGGAUGUUCCAUGACAGAUGUCUGAAUGCUAAAGUAAAUAAAAUCCACGAAAGAGCACUCAGAAUUGUUUAUAAAGACAGUGAUGCUGACUACGAAGCAUUGCUGACUUUGGAUAAUGCAGUAUCAAUUCACCAACGCAAUCUACAGUACUUGAUGAUAGAAAUAUACAAAACCAAACAUAACCUGAACCCUAGUUUCAUGAGUGAGAUUUUUGAAACAAGAAAUGUACAUUAUGAUUUGCGAACUAAAAAUAAUCUUUGCAUUCCAAA